UUGCGGACGGGUGAGUAACGCGUGGGCAACCUGCCCCAUACAGGGGGAUAACAGCCGGAAACGGCUGCUAAAACCGCAUAAGCGCACAAGGGCCGCAUGGCCUGGUGUGAAAAACUCCGGUGGUAUGGGAUGGGCCCGCGUCUGAUUAGCUAGUUGGCGGGGGAGAGGCCCACCAAGGCGACGAUCAGUAGCCGACCUGAGAGGGUGGCCGGCCACAUUGGGACUGAGACACGGCCCAAACUCCUACGGAAGGCAGCAG
rnacentral:rRNA from 1 species